rnacentral:rRNA from 1 species
AUUGAACGCUGGCGGCAGGCCUAACACAUGCAAGUCGAGCGUGCGUCGCGCGGGUGUGUAUUGUCUGUGAAACUGCCUCAUUUAAGGGGAUAACUACUGUAAACGCUAGCUAAUACCGCAUACCAUCCAAUAUUCCCCGAUGGGAUUAGCUAGUAGGUGGGGUAACGGCUCACCUAGGCGACGAUCCCUAGCGGGUCUGAGAGGAUGACCAGCCACACUGGAACUGAGACACGGUCCAGACUCCUACGGGAGGCAGCAGUGGGGAAUAUUGCACAAUGGGCGCAAGCCUGAUGCAGCCAUGCCGCGUGUGUGAAGAAGGCCUUCGGGUUGUAAAGCACUUUAAGCGGGGAGGCGUUACCCGCAGAAGAAGCACCGGCUAACUCCGUGUCAGCAGCCGCGGUAAUUC